UGCUAUUUUUAAUAUUUAAGCAAGGUUCUGAAAACCGAACCGGUCAUCAAACCGCUCUAACUACUGAUUUACUGGUUUAUAAGUUCAACCGGUUUGAUCGUGGUUGAAUCGAAAAAACCAUUUUAU